UAAUUUAUUAGAGCGUCGCAAUGACUCUCGGCAACGGAUAUCUCGGCUCUCGCAUCGAUGAAGAACGUAGCGAAAUGCGAUACUUGGUGUGAAUUGCAGAAUCCCGUGAACCAUCGAGUCUUUGAACGCAAGUUGCGCCCGAAGCCUUUCGGCCGAGGGCACGUCUGCCUGGGCGU
rnacentral:rRNA from 6 species